rnacentral:rRNA from 1 species
UAAGGAAUAUUGGUCAAUGGGCGCAAGCCUGAACCAGCCAUGCCGCGUGAAGGAUGACGGCCCUAUGGGUUGUAAACUUCUUUUGUACGGGAAUAAACCCAGAUACGUGUAUCUGGCUGAAUGUACCGUAAGAAUAAGGAUCGGCUAACUCCGUGCCAGCAGCCGCGGUAAUACGGAGGAUCCAAGCGUUAUCCGGAUUCAUUGGGUUUAAAGGGUGCGUAGGCGGAUUUGUAAGUCAGUGGUGAAAUCC